rnacentral:rRNA from 1 species
UACACUCCUACGGGAGGCAGCAGUGGGGAAUUUUGGACAAUGGGCGAAAGCCUGAUCCAGCCAUGCCGCGUGCAGGAUGAAGGCCUUCGGGUUGUAAACUGCUUUUGUACGGAACGAAACGGCCUUUUCUAAUAAAGAGGGCUAAUGACGGUACCGUAAGAAUAAGCACCGGCUAACUACGUGCCAGCAGCCGCGGUAAUACGUAGGGUGCAAGCGUUAAUCGGAAUUACUGGGCGUAAAGCGUGCGCAGGCGGUUAUGUAAGACAGUUGUGAAAUCCCCGGGCUCAACCUGGGAACUGCAUCUGUGACUGCAUAGCUAGAGUACGGUAGAGGGGGAUGGAAUUCCGCGUGUAGCAGUGAAAUGCGUAGAUAUGCGGAGGAACACCGAUGGCGAAGGCAAUCCCCUGGACCUGUACUGACGCUCAUGCACGAAAGCGUGGGGAGCAAACAGGAUUAGAAACCCGGGUAGUCCCAUG